CACCAAUCAAGCCUGGCUUGGUAUUGGGGCACGGGGGUGACCCGGCCCUUAACGUCUUCGGCAGGAGCGUCCCGAUCGCAGCGUUGUGACACACAAUCUCGCUGGUGAGACGGGCGGUUCGCGCCGCGAAACCCAUCAAA
rnacentral:misc_RNA from 1 species